rnacentral:rRNA from 1 species
AUGGCCGCCUCCUCCUCCUCCUCCCGCGGGGCCGGCGGCGGCGACGACGACAACGAGCCCUACCUCGUGGGAUUCGUCGUCUCCAAGAUCGUUGGCCUCAAGCACUACAGCGGCACCCUCAGCGGCGGCGAGAGGCCCUCCCUCAUCCGCGAGCCCCUCAACCGCUACGACAGCAACGCCAUCGCCGUCCACAACAGCCGCGGCCGCCAGGUCGGCCACAUCGAGGGCCGCACCGCCAAGGUCCUCGCCCCGCUCCUCGACUCCCUCCUCGUCGCCAACACCCACGUCCUCGUGCCCGGGAGCCGGUCCUCCAAGGCCGGCAACAAUUUCUACAACCUCCCCUGCCAGAUCCACCUCUUCGCCCGCCCCGCCGCCGCCGCCAUCGUCCGCGAGGCCGUCGACGAGAGCGGCCUCGUCCUCAUCGACCCGAACCACAUCGAGUUCGCCCUGUCCCAGUCCGCCAUCGUGCAAGAGCAGACCAAGAAAUCCGACCGGGAUGUCGAUAAGCUGUUCGCGCGUGUGGGGAAGCAAGGGGAGAGCCGGAUUGAGCCUAUGGAGCCUCCAGAGGAUGUCGUGGUGUCAGACCUGUUCGAGCACCAGAAGGUAGCCUUGGGAUGGCUGGUGCACAGGGAGGAGUCCGGUGACCUGCCGCCAUUCUGGAAGGAAGAUAAAAAUGGGGGCUACGAGAAUGUGCUUACCAGCCAGAAUGCCAAGCAGAGGCCGCCACCACUGAGAGGCGGGAUUUUCGCCGAUGAUAUGGGGCUUGGCAAGACGCUCACGCUGUUGUCAUUGAUUGCGCGAAGUAAAGCUCGCAAUGUCGGAGGGGGGAAGGCCAAAGGGACCAAAAGGAGGAAGAUCGAUGAUGCGGAGGAGGGAUCGAGGACGACACUUGUGGUGUGCCCGCCCUCGGUGUUCUCGUCUUGGGUGACACAACUGGAGGAGCAUACGAAUGCAGGCAGCUUGAAGGUGUAUAUGUACCAUGGGCAGAGAACAAAAGAUAAGAAGGUGCUGUUGAAGUAUGACAUUGUGAUUACCACUUACAGCGUCUUGGGCACAGAAUUUGGCCAGGAGGGCUCACCUGUGAACGAUAUCGAGUGGUUCCGGGUGAUUCUGGAUGAGGCCCAUAUUAUCAAGAACUCUGCAGCUCUGCAGACCAAGGCGGUGACUGCUUUGAAUGCACAGAGGCGGUGGGUAGUCACAGGGACGCCAAUUCAGAACAGCUCCUUGGAUUUGUUCCCGCUUAUGGCUUUUUUGAAGUUUGAGCCUUUCUCAGUCAAGAGCUACUGGCAGAGCUUAAUCCAGCGUCCCCUGGAGAAAGGGGAUAAGGCUGGAUUGUCACGAUUACAAAACCUGCUAGGUGCUAUCUCAUUGCGCAGAACCAAAGAAACAGAGUGUGGAAGCAAGAGUGUGAUAGGCAUUCCACCUAAAACUGUUGUAGUGUGUUCCAUUGAGCUUUCUGCAGAGGAACGGGAGUGUUAUGAUCAGAUGGAAUCGGAAGGGAGAAACAAAAUGAUGGAGUUUGGUGACAGAGAUUCAAUAUUGCGUAAUUACUCAACCGUGCUUUUUUUGAUUCUGAGGCUACGCCAGCUCUGCAAUGAUGUAGCACUGUGCCCUUUCGACAUUAAAUCCUGGCUUCCUGCCAACACCCUUGAAGAUGUGUCUAAGAACCCCGAAUUGUUGAAGAAGCUUGCCUCAUUGGUUGCUGAUGGAGAGGACUUUGACUGUCCAAUUUGCUUGUCUCCUCCAUCUACAACUGUUAUAACAAGCUGCACUCACAUAUAUUGCCAAACCUGCAUCCUAAAAAUCCUCAAGAGCGCCAGUUCCCGUUGUCCAAUAUGUCGGCGCUCCCUAUCGAAAGACGACCUCUUUAUUGCUCCGGCGGUACAACAUCCUGAUGACGAUGAAUCGGGCAGUCUUGAGUCUGACAAACCUCUCUCUUCCAAGGUGCAAGCCCUGCUGGAGCUACUGAAGCGGUCACAAAAGGAAGACCCUUCAUCAAAGUCUGUCGUGUUUUCCCAGUUCCAGAAGAUGUUGAUUCUGCUCGAAGGACCACUGAAAAGAGCAGGCUUCAAAAUACUACGUCUUGACGGCACCAUGAGCGUGAAGAAGAGGUCAGAUGUUAUAAAGGAGUUUGCGGCCGUCGGCCCCGAUGCCCCAACCGUACUGCUGGCUGGCCUGAAGGCUGCAGGAGCUGGCGUGAACCUAACAGCGGCGUCGACAGUGUACCUGUUCGACCCCUGGUGGAACCCUGGGACGGAGGAGCAGGCCAUGGACCGGGUGCACCGGAUUGGGCAGAAGAAAGCGGUGAAGGUGGUGCGGCUCAUCGUGAAGAACAGCAUCGAGGAGAGGGUCCUGGAGCUGCAGGAGAGGAAGAAGCGGCUGAUCAGCGGCGCGUUCAGGAAGAAAGUAGGAGGCAAGGAGGAAAAGGAGCUGCGCCUUGAGGAGCUGCGCAUUAUGCUAGGUUUUGGGCCAUAG